AGCAACUUUAAGUAAAAAAAAAAUGUGGCACGCCCCACAGCAUUGCUUCCAAAGUCACCAUCCCCUAAAUGAAACAAGGGGUUCACAAUAUCUUUGUGCAAAGCCUUUAGGACGCGAUGCACUCAUACAUACCAGAUCGAUAUUAUAAGAAAUAGUUUAUACUCAAAAGAGUUCGUUUCUUUGUACUUUGUUCCAGAGAAUUCCUAUGAAACCCUUAUCAAUAGGCAAAUCAAACACAAGGAAGCACUUCCUUUUGCAUUUGCAAAAUCAUUUCAUAUUUUAGUUGGAAAAUUGCAUCUAGGGACUAGGGUCAUCAAAGCACAAUAGAAUAGAUAUUAUCCUUGCCUUAUAUUAUGAAUGAAAUUUUAUAUUAAAAUUGCAUUUAAGGCAACAAGUAGCUUUCACAAUAUGGCAUCAUCCAGCAUUUUUGGGCCCAACACAAUUCCUUACAAAAAUCAUGGAACAAUGUAUAUCCAUCUUAUCAUCGAAUUUGCAGUUAGCGAGCUCAUGUAUACCAUACCCCUAGUGAAAGUUUCAUAAUUAGGGUCAUAAAAAGACAACGGACACCAUCCACGUUUUGAAUAAAAUUUCAUAUUAAAUGUCUUUCAUUUGAAAGCCACCAUCCAACUUUUCCAUUAUGAAUAAAGAAUUCAUAAUGCAUUUUUCUCAAAGGUCAUUGAGUCAUCCAACCCUUACAAAACUUAUGAAACAUUUGGGACAAGGGUCAUUAUGUUCAUAAUGCAAAAUCAC
rnacentral:lncRNA from 1 species